AAUGAAAUGGCUGAUUUAGGCGUAAAGUUGUAAACUUUAUUAUAUAGAAACUAUUUUCAUUA
rnacentral:tRNA from 1 species